GUGUACGGCUACCGGCUCAGGCAGGAGCAUCGCUGUGACGGUUCGCUUGUCAUGCCAGGAUGCCGACUCUACAGCACAGACAAGUCUGAUCUUUGUUUGGAUCGCUGUCACCACUGUACUUCUUCUUGGUCUGAUUAUCUUUGGGGUUGUCUGCUGGAAACGUACAAAAGAUAAUUACCCCGUUGCAAACCAGUUUGCUGUUCGCUACAGACAGAAUGACACCACCAGAUCAACUUCCUCAGCGGAUUCUGACUCUCACACACCAGUAAGACCAUUAG